AAGGUGGCCUGUGAGGGUUGCUGGAGGUAUCAGAAGUGCGAAUGCUGACAUAAGUAACGAUAAAGCGGGUGAAAAGCCCGCUCGCCGGAAGACCAAGGGUUCCUGUCCAACGUUAAUCGGGGCAGGGUGAGUCGACCCCUAAGGCGAGGCCGAAAGGCGUAGUCGAUGGGAAACGGGUUAAUAUUCCCGUACUUGGUGUUACUGCGAAGGGGGGACGGAGAAGGCUAUGUUGGCCGGGCGACGGUUGUCCCGGUUUAAGCGUGUAGGUGUGUGUUCCAGGUAAAUCCGGUUCACUUUAACACUGAGGCGUGAUGACGAGGCACUACGGUGCUGAAGUAACAAAUGCCCUGCUUCCAGGAAAAGCCUCUAAGCAUCAGGUAACAUCAAAUCGUACCCCAAACCGACACAGGUGGUCAGGUAGAGAAUACCAAGGCGCUUGAGAGAACUCGGGUGAAGGAACUAGGCAAAAUGGUGCCGUAACUUCGGGAGAAGGCACGCUGACACGUAGGUGAAGUGAUUUACUCAUGGAGCUGAAGUCAGUCGAAGAUACCAGCUGGCUGCAACUGUUUAUUAAAAACACAGCACUGUGCAAACACGAAAGUGGACGUAUACGGUGUGACGCCUGCCCGGUGCCGGAAGGUUAAUUGAUGGGGUCAGCGCAAGCGAAGCUCCUGAUCGAAGCCCCGGUAAACGGCGGCCGUAACUAUAACGGUCCUAAGGUAGCGAAAUUCCUUGUCGGGUAAGUUCCGACCUGCACGAAUGGCGUAAUGAUGGCCAGGCUGUCUCCACCCGAGACUCAGUGAAAUUGAACUCGCUGUGAAGAUGCAGUGUACCCGCGGCAAGACGGAAAGACCCCGUGAACCUUUACUAUAGCUUGACACUGAACAUUGAGCCUUGAUGUGUAGGAUAGGUGGGAGGCUUUGAAGUGUGGACGCCAGUCUGCAUGGAGCCGACCUUGAAAUACCACCCUUUAAUGUUUGAUGUUCUAACGUGGACCCGUUACCCGGGUUGCGGACAGUGUCUGGUGGGUAGUUUGACUGGGGCGGUCUCCUCCUAAAGAGUAACGGAGGAGCACGAAGGUUGGCUAAUCCUGGUCGGACAUCAGGAGGUUAGUGCAAUGGCAUAAGCCAGCUUGACUGCGAGCGUGACGGCGCGAGCAGGUGCGAAAGCAGGUCAUAGUGAUCCGGUGGUUCUGAAUGGAAGGGCCAUCGCUCAACGGAUAAAAGGUACUCCGGGGAUAACAGGCUGAUACCGCCCAAGAGUUCAUAUCGACGGCGGUGUUUGGCACCUCGAUGUCGGCUCAUCACAUCCUGGGGCUGAAGUAGGUCCCAAGGGUAUGGCUGUUCGCCAUUUAAAGUGGUACGCGAGCUGGGUUUAGAACGUCGUGAGACAGUUCGGUCCCUAUCUGCCGUGGGCGCUGGAGAACUGAGGGGGGCUGCUCCUAGUACGAGAGGACCGGAGUGGACGCAUCACUGGUGUUCGGGUUGUCAUGCCAAUGGCACUGCCCGGUAGCUAAAUGCGGAAGAGAUAAGUGCUGAAAGCAUCUAAGCACGAAACUUGCCCCGAGAUGAGUUCU
rnacentral:rRNA from 1 species